AUCUUUUUCUAUUAUUUGUUCUGUUUAAAGAGCAGGUGUUAGGUAUUUUAAUAGGUUUUUGUUUUCUAUACACACACAUAUAAGAAACAAAGUAUAUCCAGUUGGUUCUUGAGACUUUAAUCCUACUCGUACUCAGCGCCACAUGGAAAUUGUUGGAAAUGUGCCCUAAACCAAUCAUACGAUGAUACUUUACGGACAUUUCACAUGUUAAACUAAUAUAGUUUAAUUUAAAGGGCAAAGAUUAUUGUUUGAAGCCAUCUUAUAUAAAUGUUAUACGCUUAAACGAUAAGUCCAAGGAAUAUGUAAUUGGGAGAAUGCGAUCUAAAGAAGUUAGAUUCAUGAGACCAUUCUCUUCCGUAUACAUAUCCUAAACGUUCCUAAUCAUAGGAUUGCAAAUUGGGCAUUGAUAGUCCGUUAAGAUCAGUACGUGUUAUG
rnacentral:lncRNA from 1 species